ACAAUAUACAUUGCUUUGCAAAAUGUGGAUAAAACAUCAUUGGAUAUGCUACCUGAUUGCCGUGUUCUGCUGGCUAGAUAAGGCCACCAUUGGAGCGAUACUGGACUCGCGCUGCUAUCUGGAGGGUGGCGGCUCGGCGGAGAGUUUCCUGGCCACCGAAGAUCUGGAGGUGGGCUCCAUAAUUGGCAAACUGCGCAUCAAUGGCGAUCCAAAUGCAGAGACUGGCGACAUCACCCUGUCGCUGAGGGAGAAGACUGCGCCCGUUGAGAUUUUGGCAGGGAGCAAGGACCUGGCCUUGUCUGUGGAACUGGACAAGGAGGGUGUCAGAGGUCCCUCGUCGAUAUAUGUAAAUGUUAUAUGCAUAAGGAGGCAUUCAACGGAUCCGAGCUUCGUCAUCCCCGUCAAUGUGCGCGUGACGGACGUCAAUGAUAAUGCCCCCCAGUGGAUUGGCACCCCCUACACGCUGACCCUGUCCGAGGUGACGGUCCCAGGGACAAGGAUACUGCAGGGAGCCCGUGCCGAGGAUGCCGAUCAGCCAGGUCCCUUCUCCACCGUCGAGUAUCAGGUGCUGCCCGGACCCUAUGCGGAGUUCGUGCAGUUCCUCAAUCCCCUAGAGGGCACUCUGGUGCUGAGGAAGGCUCUGGACUACGAGCAGUUGCAGAAUUUCACGGUGAAGCUGAGGGCCCAGGAUCAGGGAACGCCGGCACGCCACUCGGACACAUUGCUGCGCGUGGUGAUCACCGAUGCGGACGAUCAGAAUCCCAAGUUCCAGCGGGAAUCCUACAGCGCAGAGCUGCCCAAUGAUGGUCGUCCCGGAGAACUGCGCAUGCGCCCCGAGCCCCUCAAGGCCGUGGAUCAGGACGAGGGCAUCUGUGCGCCCAUUCAAUACACCAUUGUCCAGUCGCAGGACGCCAAGUACUUCCGCAUCCAUCCGCACAACGGACAGAUCACCCUGCUGACGCCCAUUGGCUAUGGGGAGAUCGCUCACGGGGCCACGCUGGUUGUAAAGGCCACGCAGAUCGACAAUCCCGAUCGCUAUGCCCUGACCACAGUCCAGCUAACGCGCCCUGGCAGCCACAGCGAUCUCAGCACGCUCUCCUUUGUCCAAAAGCGCUUCGUGAUGCGCAUUCGCGAGGACACGGCUGUGGGCAAUCGUAUCCUGGCGCUGCCCACAAACAAGCCGGGAAAACACUUGAAAUACACCAUACCAGAUCCCGUCAACUCUCAGUUCUUCAGCGUGGGAUCGCUAGGCGAACUGGUGCUGGCCAAGCCGCUUGACUACGAGAAGAUGACAAAGCACGAGUUCCAGGUGCUGGCCACCGAUGGGAUGACCAACAGCACAGCGGAACUGACUCUAGAGGUGAUUGAUGUUAACGACUGGGAGCCGCGAUUCCGUGAGACCCACUACGAGUUUAUGGUGCCGAAAAGCCAGUCGCUGCAGUCGCGCACGGACACCUUUGAGGGUGUACUGAUUGGCAAGGUGGAGGCAGCCGAUGGGGAUCGUAAUGACAAGCUGGAGCUAUCUCUGCGGGGGCAGCAUGCCGGGCUCUUUGAGAUCGAUGCCACUGGGAACAUCUACAUGCGGCCGGAGCAGCUGCAGAGCCUGAAUGAGUCGACGGUGCAUCUGAUAGCAAUUGCCACGGACACAGGAGUGCCGCCCAGGAGCACCUCUGUGCCAGUGAGCGUGACAAUGGAGGGACUGACGCUGGCCCAGUCCGGCUGGAACAGCAAUAUGCUGGGGAUGUUUGGCAUGAUUGUUGGCCUCUUCCUGAUGAUCAUCUUGGCCCUUACCUGCUACAUUGUGCGAUCCAAGAAGCAGGGUAAGAGCAGUGCGAGUGCCCUGGGUCUCGGCCGGAAUAGGGUCCACAGCCAGGCGCACAGCAGCGUUUCGUCCGCUAAUCUGGUGACCCACGAAAAGCUGGCAGGGAAUGGCAAUGGCGCCAGCGUGACCAGCGGCGGUGUCUCGGUGCUGCACAUGAAGCAUGGCGGGAACAUCACUAUGGCCAAUCCCAUGAACAACGGGUUGCAUCAUGUGGCCAGUGGCGCCAGCAGCAGCAUGGCUCUGGGCAGUUCCGCGGCUCUUCUGGAGCGGGAACGGGAGCGCGAGAGGGAGCGCCAGCGGGAGAGCUAUGCAGCCACAGUUCGCAUCUUCUUGCCAGGCAUCGUUUCGAGGGCCUCGGCCAAUGGCCAGCUGUACGAGGAGGACGAGAUCGAGCACGACUCUCUGCAGACGUCGACGACGACGCCGGAGAACAACAAUCGGAAAGUGCCGGCCCCAGUAGGAGCUGUGGGUGGUGCAAUGGGUGGAAAUGGUGUCACCACCAUCACCACCGCCUCGGCCAAUGCAGGCCAGUCCAAUCUGCUGUCUGCCACCGAUGCCAUGGGCUCCUCGGAGAACAAUCUGACGGUCUACUUCUAGAAGCUGGGGGGAGGAUGGAGGUGAUGAAGAGGAGGAGUUGUAAAUAUCGCUGCUAAGUCAGUUUAGGAUUAGGAUUAAGGCCCCCAGCACUGUGCUAAGUCCAAGCGAUUUCCAUUGUAAAGUUUUUGCUUCCCAGAAGAGGUCCGAUCCCACAGAGAUCCCAGGGAAUUCCAGUUUUUCAGCUAAUCCAGAGCGCGCGAAACUUCUCGAAAUACAUGUAUGUUUAAAGAAUCUCGAUGUCUAUAAUGCGAAGGUGUUAAUUUCUACUUCGAUUCGGAACGAUCUUUACAACUUUGGCAUGGGGCAAACAUAAAAGCUGAUACGAGUAGGAAUCAAAUCGGUGGACUU
rnacentral:misc_RNA from 1 species